AUUGGCACCCUUUAGAGGAUUUCUGUAAGUAUGGAAACCCAGUUUGAUGGUGGGUUUCAUUAUUUACUGUCUAAAGAAGAAACUAAAUAAUUGUUUCUAUCAAGAAAGAAUGGCCUUGAAAGAGGAUGGUGCUCAGUUUGGUCCUGCGUUGCUCUUGUUUGAAAGCAGAAAUUGCCAAAUGGUUAUGAUCUUCUCACCGUUGAUGCUUUGAGUUUGAGUAAAAGUUCCAUCCUUCAUGGGGUGGUGGUGAAAGGUGCUGCACUUCUAGUAGCAGUAGAGACGUUAGUCAUGACUAGAUUUUUAGAGAUGGAAAGCCACAAACAGAAAUUAAAGAAGGAAAUUAUUAGGGUGAAGAAGAGAACGAGCCUACAUGAAACAAGGAAAAAAUAGUCGCUGGAUGAGAAACAAGAUUUGUUUUAAAGAGGUGUGCUAACUAACCAUUACAGGUGCGACGUAGACAGCUAAAAUUUUGUUCACUCCUCUCUUCCCGCGUGACAUCACGCAACUUGCUAAAUAUGCAAUUUUGUAUUUUAGUGUUAAUUUUUUUUUUUUUAAGUUUAGGAGUCUAACAAGUCUAAAACUUAAUUCAAGUGUACUAUAGGCA
rnacentral:misc_RNA from 1 species